GGCCUUUUCCUGGCGCAGCUCCCCUCCCGUCACCGUGUGCCCACGGCCCGCUGCCACACGCGCGAGGGACACAGGCGCAGGGACAAGGAGUUCGUGUCCCUGGGGCACUGCACGUCCUGAGCAGGGGGGCCACCGUCCCCCGCAGGCUGUCGGCCCCGUCGGGAGCCCGCUCUGCGGCUCCCCUCCUCGGGCUGGACUCUGGGGCCCGCCCCACCCGGGGGCCUGCACGCCCAGCCCUCUGGUCCAGGACAGGAGGGCCUGUGUGCGCAGGCGCACGGGGGUGGGGGUGGGGGCGAGGGGGGGGAGGCCUCCGGGCGGGGGCGGCCACCGGAGCAGCGGGGCUUCGAGCGGGAGCAGAGUCUGGCGCCACGGGGUCUCCUGGGCGUGGCAGGGCGGGCUUGGUGGCCACCAAUCAGAGGCCAGGAGGCGCCGCGAGGGGGCCUGCGCAGGCGCACUGGGUCGCCUGGGGCUGAAGGGGCGGGGCUUUGAGAGGACCUGGGCUUCUGUUCAGUUGGUCGCUGGCGGGGAGGAGGACAGGACGGCCACCAUGCAGGCCCCGGACGAUGGCGAGGGCGGCGCAGGGACGCCCAAUGGUCCUGGAGGCUGCUCAGGCCUUGGCGGCUGGGAGGGUGAAGGAGAGGAGGGCGCUGUGGCCGGUGCAGCUCCCCAGGUCCAAGGGGCCUCGCUUGCCCCUGCGCCGGGUGCAGAGGCCUCUUCCCCUGGUGCGACCCCUGGAAGCCCGCCGCUGGAGUUCGCCCUAACGGUGCCCUUCCUGUCCUACACGGAUGCGGAGGUGGCUCGCAGGUACCUGUGCGCAGGUGCUGACCUCUACCACGGGGCUGUGCAGAGGGAGCUCACAGUGAUUGGCAGUGACCUGGUUAUGUGAGUUGCACACACGGGCUGGGAGGCAGUGGCAGCAGGCCGCACGGGGCGCCUCUGCCAAGGGCGCCUUUGGAGACGUGGCGGCGCCAGGGUGGGUCUAAGGAGGGGCUGGGGUGCGGGGGCCGUUUGGGGGGCCAGGGAGGCCAGGAGGUAUCAGCUCGGAGGUGAGUGUCUUUUUCCUUCACUUUCAGCCGAUUAACGUCUGAAGACUCCGGCCUCCUGCAAAUCUCCACUGCCUCCUUGCUCAGCAGGCUUUCCGUCGUGGUGCAGACCAUGCAGCACUUCGUGCCUCCGGUGUUUGUUAAGCCUCGGCCUGGAAAGGGGGGUUGAGGCCACAAGAGUACCCUGUCCUAGGCAGCGCGUCCUUCCCUAGGACCGUGAUUUUCGCACCAGUGGCCACUUUAUUGGAGGGCCCGACUGUCUGCCUGCACCAGCCCUUGGCCACUCUCUACCCCCGUGGCUUGGCUUGCUGCCUAGGUACUGCUUACCGCGGAUAAUAAAACGGAGUUUCUUUGCGGCA
rnacentral:lncRNA from 1 species